AUGAGAUUUGAAGGGGACAAGACCCAAACUAUAUCAGCAACAUCAAGAACGCUCUGUUUGUACUUAGGUACAAAGGUUGUGGCACUGUCCCUAGAAGGCACUACUAAUGUUUUGGGCACCUGGUGUGAUAGAACAGGCCAGUGCUCCAAGCAGGCACACACAGCCAGACUGUAUUUCGCAGCCCCCUUGCCUCAGGCCGUGUGGUCAAGUUCUGACCUAAAGAAUAUGAACAGAUUACUGUACGGCACUACUUAAGCUGUGCCCUCAAAAUCCUCGAAGUCCAGUCUCCUCCGGGACCUCUCUUCCCUCCCCUGCUGGCUGGAUGCAGAGAAUUCAACAGAAGGCUCUGGGGCCCUAGAACCACACGAUGGAAGAAGUCUGAGUGCCCCAGUGACCACUGGGGGAGUACCCUUUCCUCGCCCCCCACCAUGGUCUGUGAUGUGAACAAAAAAUAAACAUUUAUUUUGUUAAGCCACUGAGAUUUGAGGUCUGUUACAUCACUUAGCUUACCUCACGGAUACUGAUAGGAAUGUUUAGAAGUGCUCAACCUCAUCAGAGAAAGGCAAAAUUUAAAAAUGGUACCGCUUCACUUGUUCUCAUUAGACUAGCAAAAAUUAGUAAAGCAGAUCGUUUUAAAAAUUGAGGAUAGGAAUGGGAGGGGGUGUGGUGAUACAGGAAAUCCCACGCACUGCUGGUGAAGAUGUAGUGUAGCCUUGCUGGGGGCAAUCUGGUGGUUCUUAUUCAAAUUAAAUAUGUAGAUACUUUAGGAUUCACCAGUUCUCCUGGAAAUGCAUCCCAUAGGAAUUCUCACACAGGUCUCCGUAUGAAGGAGACAUGGAUGUCUCUGGAAUCAUUGUACUGAGGAGUUGGAAACGAUCUGGGUAUCCAUCACUGGGGGUGUGGAUAAACAAGAGGAGUGCAAAACACGGAGAACUAUGCAGUGGCAUGAAGCACUGGGUCACAUGCACGCACAUAAUGUGAUAGGCCUUUAAUGCCUAGAAUAUGAUGCAAAUAAUAUAUGCAUACACAGCAGCAGUACAUAUUUCACCAAAAUAUGCACAUAAAGAAUAGACAUCAAACACCUUGGCAUGGUUGUCUAUGAAAGGGAAAUGAGAGUGGAAAAUAAAAGGGGAGAAAGAAAAUAUAAUCAUAUGAGUGAAUUUCCUUCCACCGUACAGAUUCUCAGUUAUUCCAAAAGCAUUUUGACAAGAGAUUGAAGACUGACAAUCACAGCUUUUUUUACUUCUGAGGCUUAGUUUUCUUUACAGAAUCUUAUUUCCAUGAGGUUAUUACAUCUAUCCUCAUUUUUUGAAAAAACUUAUAUUCUGCUUUUGCUGCUUUUUCCAAUUUAAUAAGCAUUUUCUUUUAACCACCUGACC
rnacentral:lncRNA from 1 species